GGACGAACGCUGGCGGCGUGCCUAACACAUGCAAGUCGAACGGAGUUAAUUAUUUAGAUCCCUUCGGGGUGAUGAAUUUUUAACUUAGUGGCGGACGGGUGAGUAACGCGUGAGCAACCUGCCUUACAGAGGGGGACAACAGUUGGAAACGACUGCUAAUACCGCAUAACAUAUCUUUACCGCAUGGUAGAGAUAUCAAAGGAGCAAUCCGCUGUAAGAUGGGCUCGCGUCCGAUUAGGUAGUUGGUGGGGUAACGGCCUACCAAGCCGACGAUCGGUAGCCGGACUGAGAGGUUGAUCGGCCACAUUGGGACUGAGACACGGCCCAGACUCCUACGGGAGGCAGCAGUGGGGGAUAUUGCACAAUGGAGGAAACUCUGAUGCAGCAACGCCGCGUGAGGGAAGAAGGUCUUCGGAUUGUAAACCUCUGUUUUUAGUGAAGAAACAAAUGACGGUAGCUAAAGAGGAAGCCACGGCUAACUACGUG
rnacentral:rRNA from 1 species